rnacentral:rRNA from 1 species
UACAGAGGGUGCUAGCGUUGUUCGGAAUCAUUGGGCGUAAAGAGCGUGUAGGCGGCCCGGUAAGUCCGCUGUAAAAGUCAAAGGCUCAACCUUUGAAUGUCAGUGGAUACUGCCGGGCUAGAGUCCGGAAGAGGCGAGUGGAACUCCUGGUGUAGCGGUGGAAUGCGCAGAUAUCAGGAAGAACACCUAUGGCGAAGGCAGCUCUCUGGGACGGUACUGACGCUGAGACGCGAAAGCGUGGGGAGCGAACAGG